GCUGUCGUGCAGAAACAGUGGUUCCGGCUGACUUUAAAAUUGCUGCCUAAAUGAAGGAAUGAGGCUCUUCUGGGAAAUGUAGGCUCCUAAUGGAGGGUUGUGGUUUGAAAAGGUUCCCACGCAGUGAUUUUUUAAAUGCCUAUUGACCUCACUGCAGUGGCUGCUUUUCCAUCAUAAUCUGUUACAUAAUAACUGUGCAACAUUGGAGCUGCUGCUUACAAAACUGACUUAAACGAACCCACCUAGACCAGCAUCAGGGACCUUUUUCUAGCCUCUGUGGCCAUUAUCGGAAUUGCAGGACCUAGAGAAUCUGGUGCUUUCAACCAAAUGACCCCCGAGAAAACGGGUUUAAGGUCUCCCUUGUCCUUAGCAGGCUUGCGAGGGCUGCUGGAAAGCCAACAUUUGGGACUUGAAAGUCUUGAGAAAAACUGAGUUUGGUGCCUUAGUAAAUGGUUGACACCCCUCGCCCCACGACUCCCCAGUUCCCACAUUUUGACCUUUAGCUUUGCACACGGAAGCCCACAGCAUCUGAGAAGCUAUUUCAGUCCAAAUCCUGGGAUGGAAAUACCAGAGGCCGAGCCUGAACAUCCUAAGCAAACAGAUGAAUGUCUUGGAAGGAGACAGAGCUGCUCACGGAACAGAAGGAGGACCUGAGACUCGGCUUUAUACAAGCCCACGAGAGGCUCGAGGACGUCAGGUGGUGGGAGUAACACAAUUUCCCUCCGCACGGCUGCCCGGGAAAUGACUGCAAACCAGUCUCCAUUUGGGGGUCCCUUCUCUCCACACUGAAAGCCCAGGUCAAGGGCAUCUGGGAGACCUAGUUUCAGGCACGUUAUGCAGCCACCCUCCCCUUGCCUGUGAAACUGGAUUGUUACGAUCAUUAUACAACGACAGAUGUGAUACAUUCGAGGCAUAAAAAAACUAAAAAUUAAAAAAAUAAAUAAAUCAAGGGAGAGGCAUGGUGUGGGUUAUGCUAUUUUCACUCCCUCCCCUCCAGUUCUACCCCACAUCUUCCCUCUUCUCCACGCCACGAGUUUGCGCAUGAGGCAUCCCCACAGCAGGAGCACAGGCUCCCCCCGCACCCCCCCGGCCUCCCUCGCCUCCCAGGAAUAAUCUGGGAUGGGUGAGCAGCUCGGAAUUUUGGAGACGGAGAAAAAUGAGGAAAAGGAGUAUCGGAGAGAUGAGAAGUGGUGUCACGCCCCCCCCACCUUGAGUUCUUGAGUUGGUUUCAGUUCUCCUCAGGUGAACACAUUUUUUAUUUAAGAGAAACUAUUACAUUUCUAGUGCAGUACCAAUGCAUGUGCUGUGUGUGUGUGUGUGUAAGUGUGAAGAGAAAACAAAGAUAGAGUAAUAGCAAAUGAUGUUUCUUUGUUUAACUCCCUUUUCUAGAACUAACCUCUCUAAAAUGUUGUGGUGUAUCACACAAUUAACUACGACAUGUGUAAUUAAUUUAAAAUAUUCUUUAAUUGAGGAGAUGGGCAGCAACGAAACACUGAGGGUACCAGAGAACUAGAGAGGUUACUGGGCUGCCUCCCCAGCCGCCCUCUACCUGGCUGCCCCGAGGCAUCUUGCUCAUUUGACUUUCUAAUCCUUGACAUAUUCUGCUCCAUGAUUUCCAUAUAAAUGACCUCUUGGGUGAUACAACUUAAAAACCCAUGAUGCACCCAGGAUUUCCUCCCAAUGCAUCCCAGAGUGGAGCAGAAAUCUCUUCCAAUGCUCUGGCCAUCCAAGUUCUAGUUUGGGGCAUAUCUAAUUCUGUUUCUUCGGAAAACGUAUCGAUCCGUGUCUCUCUUAAACCUAUUUGUUAACAUCUUUGGAAACUUUGCUAUGUUUUAUGUAGUUCAAUAAGAAGUUGGAGUUCCCAUUGUGGCGCAGUGGUUAACGAAUGCGACUAGGAACCAUGAGGAUGCAGGUUCGAUCCCUGGCCUUGCUCAGUGGGUUAAGGAUCUGGCGUUGCCGUGAGCUGUGGUGUAGGUCGCAGACGCGGCUCGGAUCCCGUGUUGCUGUGGCUCUGGCACAGGCUGGCGGCUACAGCUCCAAUUCGACCCCUAGCCUGGGAAUCUCCAUAUGCCGAGGGAGCAGCCCAAGAAAUGGCAAAAAGACAAAAAAAAAAAAAGAAGAAAUUAAUAUUUGCUACACGUUAGAACAAAUCAGUGUGUUCAUCCUGCUUUUCUCUCUUCCUCCUUUCGUUCAAAUUCCCUCCUCUACCACCACACAUUCCCCUCAUGUCUCUACCACUUCAAGCCACCAAUGCAGAAGGGAGCUGAUGUUUACCAGACGACUGUCACGUGACAAGCAUUACGACAAGUGUCUGCAUAUACUUUUUUCAUUUAUAUUUGUUGUAGCUUCAGUGAACUUAUGUGGAACCCCAGAUCCAGAGAGGUUAAAAGGAUCCAGAGCCACAAAGCUGGGAACUGGUUAAGUUCACAGUGGAACCUACAGCUGUCUGAGUUCAAAGCACAUUCUUUCCGUUGUAAUACGUCCAAUAAGAUAGGUAGGUACCAGCUCAUCAAGAACUACUACACACC
rnacentral:lncRNA from 1 species